rnacentral:tRNA from 1 species
GGCCCCGUAGUUCAAUGGAUAGAAUGCAAGAUUCCGGUUCCUGUGAUAUGGGUUCGAUUCCCGUCGGGGCUA